AGGAUAACUUCCAGUUGUUUGCACCCAGGCGGAGCUGCUGGCACACGUGCCUUUCCACAUUCGUCCCCAGAAUCUGCAUGUUCCAACGAUCCGCUGGAAGAUCAGACCCUUUGUGUAUUUAAAUACGUUUUGAGGAAAGAGCCUUCCCUGGGGAAAGGCAGAAGGCGGCAGCGAUCCUGCGAGAGGUGGCUUAGAGACCCCGUACCUGCCGAUGGCCGGAGAAGCAUCCCACCCGAGCCGUAUGGGAGAGCGACCCGCCUGGCAUCAGUCUGGAGCGUCGUGCAGAGCACACCAGGAAAGCCCUAGACACCAGCCUUGACGCUGCAGCGAGACUUCAAAGCUCCCAGCUUGUGAGCGAGGCGCAGCAGGUUCUCCGCUCGGAGACCGCUUCGGCGUGGUCAGGAGGCUGAGCAUGACCGAGAGGGAGAGAAGCCUCCCUGCUCCGCCGGCUGGUUUCAGUGGCCGUAGGAGAAGCUGGGGCUGGAGAAGAGGUAGGGUUUUAAAAUAUUCUUGUUUUUUGGCUGAGCAGGAAGGGCUGUCCCAGGCUUGGCAGGAAUCCCUCUUGGCUAGCUCUACCAAAGGGAA